rnacentral:rRNA from 1 species
GUGGGGAAUAUUGGACAAUGGGCGCAAGCCUGAUCCAGCCAUGCCGCGUGAGUGAUGAAGGCCCUAGGGUUGUAAAGCUCUUUCAGUGGGGACGAUAAUGACGGUACCCACAGAAGAAGCCCCGGCUAACUUCGUGCCAGCAGCCGCGGUAAUACGAAGGGGGCUAGCGUUGUUCGGAAUUACUGGGCGUAAAGCGCACGUAGGCGGAUAUUUAAGUCAGGGGUGAAAUCCCGGGGCUCAACCCCGGAACUGCCUUUGAUACUGGAUAUCUUGAGUUCGGAAGAGGUAAGUGGAAUUGCGAGUGUAGAGGUGAAAUUCGUAGAUAUUCGCAGGAACACCAGUGGCGAAGGCGGCUUACUGGUCCGAUACUGACGCUGAGGUGCGAAAGCGUGGGGAGCAAACAGGAUUAGAAACCCUUGUAGUCC